UACAGAGGGUGCAAGCGUUGUUCGGAAUUAUUGGGCGUAAAGGGCGCGUAGGCGGUGCGGUAAGUCUGUAGUGAAAUCUCUGGGCUCAACUCAGAGUCUGCUGCAGAAACUGCCGUGCUUGAGUGUGGGAGAGGUGAGUGGAAUUCCCGGUGUAGCGGUGAAAUGCGUAGAUACUGGGAGGAACACCAGUGGCGAAGGCGGCUACCUGGACCGGUUCUGACGCUGAGGCGCGAAAGCGUGGGUAGCAAACAGG
rnacentral:rRNA from 1 species